UAGGGAAUCUUCCACAAUGGACGCAAGUCUGAUGGAGCAACGCCGCGUGAGUGAAGAAGGUUUUCGGAUCGUAAAGCUUUGUUGUUGGUGAAGAAGGAUAGAGGCAGUAACUGGUCUUUAUUUGACGGUAAUCAACCAGAAAGUCACGGCUAACUACGUGCCAGCAGCCGCGGUAAUACGUAGGUGGCAAGCGUUUUCCAGAUUUAUUGGGCGUAAACCGAGCGCAGGCGGAAUGAUAAGUCUGAUGUGAAAGCCCACGGCUCAACCGUGGAACUGCAUCGGAAACUGUCAGUCUUGAGUGCAGAGGAGGAAAGUGGAAUUCCAUGUGUAGCAGUGGAAUGCGUAGAUAUAUGGAAGAACACCAGUGGCGAAGGCGGCUCUCUGGUAUGCAACUGACGCUGAGGAUCGAAAGCAUGGGUAGCGAACAGG
rnacentral:rRNA from 1 species